rnacentral:rRNA from 1 species
UACGUAGGGACCGAGCGUUGUCCGGAAUCAUUGGGCGUAAAGAGCGUGUAGGCGGCCACUUAAGUCCUGCGUGAAAUCUUGCGGCUCAACCGCAAGCGGUCGUGGGAAACUGGGUGGCUAGAGUGCGGGAGAGGAGAGUGGAAUUCCCGGUGUAGCGGUGAAAUGCGUAGAUAUCGGGAGGAAUACCUAUGGCGAAAGCAGGUCUCUGGGCCAUCACUGACGCUGAGCUGCGAAAGCUAGGGGAGCAAACAGG